ACAUGGAUGCCAGAUGUUUUAUGGGUUGGUUUUAAGCAUCAAAUAAGAGAGUUUCUCUCCGUGUG
rnacentral:tRNA from 1 species